rnacentral:rRNA from 1 species
CCUACGGGUGGCAGCAGUGAGGAAUAUUGGUCAAUGGGCGAGAGCCUGAACCAGCCAAGUCGCGUGAAGGAUGAAGGAUCUAUGGUUUGUAAACUGCUUUUGUACGAGGGUAAACCCCGAUACGUGUAUCGGGUUGAAAGUAUCGUACGAAUAAGGAUCGGCUAACUCCGUGCCAGCAGCCGCGGUAAUACGGAGGAUCCGAGCGUUAUCCGGAUUUAUUGGGUUUAAAGGGAGCGUAGAUGGGUUGUUAAGUCAGUUGUGAAAGUUUGCGGCUCAACCGUAAAAUUGCAAUUGAUACUGGCAGUCUUGAGUACAGUUGAGGUAGGCGGAAUUCGUGGUGUAGCGGUGAAAUGCUUAGAUAUCACGAAGAACCCCGAUUGCGAAGGCAGCUUACUAAACUGUGACUGACAUUGAUGCUCGAAAGUGUGGGUAUCAAACAGGAUUAGAUACCCUUGUAGUC